UACGAAGGGGGCUAGCGUUGUUCGGAAUUACUGGGCGUAAAGCGUGCGCAGGCGGCUUCUCAAGUCAGGGGUGAAAGCCCAGAGCUCAACUCUGGAAUUGCCUUUGAGACUGAGAGGCUUGAGUGCGGGAGAGGUGAGUGGAAUUCCGAGUGUAGAGGUGAAAUUCGUAGAUAUUCGGAAGAACACCAGUGGCGAAGGCGACUCACUGGACACGUAUUGACGCUGAGGUGCGAAAGCGUGGGGAGCAAACAGG
rnacentral:rRNA from 1 species